rnacentral:rRNA from 1 species
GUGGGGAAUAUUGGGCAAUGGGGGAAACCCUGACCCAGCGACGCCGCGUGAGGGAAGAAGGCCUUAGGGUCGUAAACCUCUGUUGUGUGGGAAGAAGAGCGUGACGGUACCACACGAGGAAGUCCCGGCUAACUACGUGCCAGCAGCCGCGGUAAUACGUAGGGGACGAGCGUUGUCCGGAUUUACUGGGCGUAAAGGGCGCGUAGGCGGUCAUUUAAGUCAACUGUGAAAUGGUUUGGCUUAACCGGAUCAUGCGGUUGAAACUGGAUGACUGGAGUGCUGGAGAGGCAAGUGGAAUUCCCAGUGUAGCGGUGAAAUGCGUAGAUAUUGGGAAGAACACCGGUGGCGAAGGCGACUUGCUGGCCAGCAACUGACGCUGAGGCGCGAAAGCCAGGGGAGCAAACGGGAUUAGAUACCCGUGUAGUCC